rnacentral:snoRNA from 1 species
ACAGUCACAGGACAGAAGACAAUUGGGUCUCCUGCUGCAGGGGGGCUGGGGCCCUGCCCUUCAAAGUGAAUCUGGAGGUUCUACACUA